GAUGAACGCUGGCGGCGUGCCUAAUACAUGCAAGUCGAGCGAACAGACGAGGAGCUUGCUCCUCUGACGUUAGCGGCGGACGGGUGAGUAACACGUGGAUAACCUACCUAUAAGACUGGGAUAACUUCGGGAAACCGGAGCUAAUACCGGAUAAUAUAUUGAACCGCAUGGUUCAAUAGUGAAAGACGGUUUUGCUGUCACUUAUAGAUGGAUCCGCGCCGCAUUAGCUAGUUGGUAAGGUAACGGCUUACCAAGGCGACGAUGCGUAGCCGACCUGAGAGGGUGAUCGGCCACACUGGAACUGAGACACGGUCCAGACUCCUACGGGAGGCAGCAGUAGGGACUCUUCCGCAAUGGGCGAAAGCCUGACGGAGCAACGCCGCGUGAGUGAUGAAGGUCUUCGGAUCGUAAAACUCUGUUAUUAGGGAAGAACAAAUGUGUAAGUAACUAUGCACGUCCUGACGGUACCUAAUCAGAAAGCCACGGCUAACUACGUG
rnacentral:rRNA from 1 species